rnacentral:lncRNA from 1 species
CAAUAGACUAUUAGUGUGUUUAUGUGUUUGUAAUGUAAUAUUUUGGUUUCCUGUGGAUCGUACAUCCCAUUUGGAAAUUUUAAAUAUCAAUAAAGAAUUACACCCCUUGUUUGGUUUAUAACUUUGUUUGCAUAGGAAAAAAAUUUUCUAAUUACUGAAUAUAUAAUUUUAUUAUCAAUUAAUUUUUGUUGUGGUGGAGACGAUAACUGUAAAACAUUUUCUGUCCCUUGAGAAUAAGAAUUUAUUGAAAUACUUAAGAAUAAAUUUUCAAAAAUAAAAAUUAAUUUUGAAUA